GACGAACGCUGGCGGCGUGCCUAAUACAUGCAAGUAGAACGCACAGUUUAUACCGUAGCUUGCUCCACCAUAAACUGUGAGUUGCGAACGGGUGAGUAACGCGUAGGUAACCUGCCUGGUAGCGGGGGAUAACUAUUGGAAACGAUAGCUAAUACCGCAUAAUAUUGAUUAUUGCAUGAUAAUUGAUUGAAAGAUGCUAUUGCAUCACUACCAGAUGGACCUGCGUUGUAUUAGCUAGUAGGUGAGGUAACGGCUCACCUAGGCGACGAUACAUAGCCGACCUGAGAGGGUGAUCGGCCACACUGGGACUGGGACACGGCCCAGACUCCUACGGGAGGCAGCAGUAGGGAAUCUUCGGCAAUGGACGAAAGUCUGACCGAGCAACGCCGCGUGAGUGAAGAAGGGUUUCGGAUCGUAAAGCUCUGUUGUAAGAGAAGAACGGGUGUGAGAGUGGAAAGUUCACACUGUGACGGUAUCUUACCAGAAAGGGACGGCUAACUACGUG
rnacentral:rRNA from 1 species